rnacentral:misc_RNA from 1 species
AGGAUAUCUCGGCUCUCGCAUCGAUGAAGAACGUAGCGAAAUACGAUACGUGGUGUGAAUUGCAGAAUCCCGCGAACCAUCGAGUUUUUGAACGCAAGUUGCGCCCGAGGGUCCUGCCCGAGGGCACGCCUGCCUCAUGGGCGUAAUAAGCCCAUCAACGCUCGAGUGCCUCGGCCACGUCACGUGUGACGGGCGCGCGGCCGGAUGCGGACGAUGGCCCUCCGAGCGAGAGCGCGCGGCGGGCCGAAGCGUGCGUUCGUCGGAUGCGGUCGGAGCGGCGAGUGGUGGGAUCCUGCGCAUGCCGCCUCGUGCCCUUUUCCGGCGUCGGGCGCGUAGCUUCGACCCCGUACGAGGAGCUCGUCGUCGGUGCGUCCGACUCCGAGGAACCCUUGGACCAAUACCCCAGGUCAGGCGGGGCUACCCGCCGAGUUUAAGCAUA